UCGCUGUCCAGUGCUAACGGGCGGUAUUUUUUCACCGAAGUUUACCCGGAAUAUUCUUGUUGAAGUAGGUGCAGUUAUGGUAAGGCAAUGGCUGAACAGCGAUAACCAGAAGUCUUGAAUUCCCACUGAGAACGUUCAAUAUGCACUGCACGCAGGAUGGGAACACAGAACACAGCUUGUUAGUCAUGGCUGCCCAUACCUGCCAAUGUUUGAGGAACCAAAGUAGAGACACGGGACCUCAGUAAGUGGAAGGACCU